CUUCAGCUGCCAAGUGCACAUGUAACAGAUCUGACAGAUAAAAUACAGUGACAAAUAAACAAAUACACCCAAUCCUAACUAAAUAAACAAAAAGAAAAACUGAUAAAAAAAAAAAAAGGACAAACUAACACGCAAUCUGCAA